rnacentral:rRNA from 1 species
GGGGAAUAUUGGACAAUGGGCGCAAGCCUGAUCCAGCCAUGCCGCGUGAGUGAUGAAGGCCUUAGGGUUGUAAAGCUCUUUCACCGGAGAAGAUAAUGACGGUAUCCGGAGAAGAAGCCCCGGCUAACUUCGUGCCAGCAGCCGCGGUAAUACGAAGGGGGCUAGCGUUGUUCGGAAUUACUGGGCGUAAAGCGCACGUAGGCGGAUAUUUAAGUCAGGGGUGAAAUCCCAGAGCUCAACUCUGGAACUGCCUUUGAUACUGGGUAUCUUGAGUAUGGAAGAGGUAAGUGGAAUUCCGAGUGUAGAGGUGAAAUUCGUAGAUAUUCGGAGGAACACCAGUGGCGAAGGCGGCUUACUGGUCCAUUACUGACGCUGAGGUGCGAAAGCGUGGGGAGCAAAC